UUUUGGGAUUGAUCUGCAUAUGUCUGGCAAGUCCUCUGUGCUGGGCUUGCUGAAAUGCUCGGGUUGAUUCUGCCUCCCCUUGAAGGGAACCUAGGCACAGACUUUGUGUCACCGUGUGCAGUCCUGUCCUUCAUGUGGCAGGAAUGAGCAGUGCUCUGGGAGUUUUUUACAGCACUCCUUCCUGGUAAAGGAUCAUGAUGUGAUGGCACCGAGCAUCGCAGUACUGCCUUGAUCUGAGAAGCAUUGCAGAACAGUCGGUACGCGGAUCAGGGAAGGUGAGCGCAUGGAAUAACGUGUCAUGUUAAAUGCCUUUUGCU